AAAGGUGCAACAGUAUCAGAAUAAUUCUGCUUGAUGAAUAGAGAAAAGGAAGUUGGUUACCAAAUCAGACGCGUGACAUCGUUCGUGGAUUUGGACACAGCACCGGGAAUACGCACUAGAUAUUUAAAAUAUACACGCAUUCUUGUGCGCGUUCGAGCACAUGUGCGCUAAAUAUCUAGUUGUAGUUAAGGACGAGACGUCGGGAAGAAAGUAACUGUCUUCUCUUCCCGUCUCUCCACACACCAUACCAGAAGACAAUUCGAAGCGAGGUCAAGGCCUUUCGCUACAUUUCCACCACGUCAAUCGCGAUCGAUCGACCAGCACGAAUGCAUUGUAUGUAUAUAUAUUUAUAUCCACAUGGCUGUUUAUCGUGACAGUUAUUCCCUACGGAGGUUAAACUUUGCUCUAGCUUCUCAACAGUUCAUAGUGACGUACGGCGAUGUAAAGUAAAUCGACAGUUAUUUGCUUGUACGUUUACAAAAAUUUGCAAAGAUAUUAACCACCUAUCAAACAAAAUGUUGUAUAUUUAAGCACAUCCUCCCUAG
rnacentral:misc_RNA from 1 species